CAGUAAGACAGCAGUUUUCUGGUCACACUCUCCAGAAGGUCAACAUCUCCGUGUCAUCUUGUGCCACACAAACAGCGAGGUGUUUCUCAGCAGGACUGACUUCCAUAGAUCACAUCUGGAUGCACCCAGGGAGGAAUGGGGCAGGAUGCAGGAACAGCAGAUGAAGGUAUUACUGUUACUAACAACAGUAUGGUACAGUUGCCCCAGUGUACACUGGAGACAGCACAGUAUGAUCACCCAAGAUCUCACCUCUCACAGUUAUGAAAGCUGAAUGCUUCAGAAAGCACAGAAUGCAAAAACAAUCUGAACAGGUUUUGCCUUCAGAUACUUCAUGAUAAGGAUGCCUUCGAUGUUUCCUGAUGAAGAAAUGAAGACAAAGUAUGACUUCUCACUCCA